AUUGAACGCUGGCGGCAGGCCUAACACAUGCAAGUCGAGCGGCAGCGGGAAAGUAGCUUGCUACUUUUGCCGGCGAGCGGCGGACGGGUGAGUAAUGCCUGGGGAUCUGCCCAGUCGAGGGGGAUAACUACUGGAAACGGUAGCUAAUACCGCAUACGCCCUACGGGGGAAAGCAGGGGACCUUCGGGCCCUGCGCGAUUGGAUGAACCCAGGUGGGAUUAGCUAGUUGGUGAGGGAAUGGCUCACCAAGGCGACGAUCCCUAGCUGGUCUGAGAGGAUGAUCAGCCACACUGGAACUGAGACACGGUCCAGACUCCUACGGGAGGCAGCAGUGGGGAAUAUUGCACAAUGGGGGAAACCCUGAUGCAGCCAUGCCGCGUGUGUGAAGAAGGCCUUCGGGUUGUAAAGCACUUUCAGCGAGGAGGAAAGGUUGGUAGCUAAUAACUGCCAGCUGUGACGUUACUCGCAGAAGAAGCACCGGCUAACUCCGUGCCAGCAGCCGCCGCGG
rnacentral:rRNA from 1 species